AACUUAGCACUUCCUUACUUGUUUUUUGUGUAAUUCUUCUGACAUUUUUCUUUAGCGAGAGAUGGACGUAGUUAUUAUCCGAUAUCACAAAUCUUUGAGCCAAAAGAUGAAAUGAUAAAACGUAAAAUGUAUGGAAAAUGUGUUUGAUGCUCUAUUAGUUUGUGACAUACAUACAAAAUAAAGAGCGGGAUCACGUCCACUUCCAAAAAUUGUUAAAGGUCUGAUGUUCCUUCCUAGUGUGAUCCGUCAUAAUAGUUGUCGCUUGCAUGGAUAGACGGACACUCGAAAUUCAGUUGUCUUAGAUUCGUCACAGUUUUUAGAAUUUUGAAUUGAAUAAGCACCUGUAGUAUCAAUCAAAUAGCCAAUAAUAGAAACGGUUUUAGAUUUUUAUGAUUUACAUCCAUCUUCAUUAGCAUAGUUUGGUUUUUUAUUAUUCUUAUAUAAUAUUGGCACUGACUGGUUUGUUGUCGAUUAACAAUGGAAAGUUACUAAUUUCACUGAAUGGCUAAUAAAUUAUUAUUAUUUUUACAAGUAAGAGACUGAAAAGCUUUUUUUAAUUCAAAUCAAGUUCCAAAUGAAUUCGCCAAAUAUAUUUUCACUGCAGAUGCUUUCUAUAUGAAGACCUAAUCAAUGUAACUCUAACAAGUAGGGAAAGCCUAAGUUCGGGUGCAACCGAACAUUUUAUACUCUCGCAAUUUAUUGAUAUAUUUUUAUUAAGAUAACACACAAUUUGACCCAAUUUGAAAAUCCUAUAAUUAGGUAUAUGAGAGCUAGGGGAAGUUAUGACAAGAUUUUAACCAUUUCUAGUACAGAGACACACUAUUAGAAGAAAAAUAUUUCCUCUGAAUUAAAUUAAAAUAUCUGAGAGAUUUACCGAAAUUUUCGGUGAAAAAUUACCAAGGGACACUGAAUCAUAUUCGACAUUCGAGGCCUUCAAAAGUUAUAGUCCGAUUUCGACCAAUUCCGAUUUUCACAAGUGACGCCACAGAUCAUAUACAGUAUUUCUGUAAAGUUUUAUUUCGCUAUCUUCAUUGGUUCCUUAUGUAUAUACUAUAAAGUAAAGGAAUAAGAUGGAGUUCAAAAUUGAGUUACAUGGGGAGCUGUCGUGGUUGUGAACCGAAUUAAUCCAUGUCAUCAGGGUGUCAAGAAAAUAUUAUAUACCGAAUUUUAUUCGAAUCGGUCGAGUAGUUCCUGAGAUAUGGUUUUUGACACAUAAGUGGGCGAUGCCACGCCCAUUUUUCAUUUUUUAAAAAAUCUGUUCAGCUUCCUUCUGCAAUUUCUUCUGUAAAAUUUAGUGUUUCUGACGUUUUUCGUUAGUGAGAUAAUCCACUUUUAGUAAUUUUCAACCCAACCUUUGUAUGGGAGGUGGGCGUGGUUAUUAUCCGAUUUCAACUAUUUUCAUGAUGUGUGAUGGAGUACGUUAGAGAACCGACUGCUGAACGUUUGGUUUAUAUAGCUUCAUUGAUUUGCGAGAUAUAUGCAAAUAACCAAUUUGGGGGCGGGGCUACGCCCACUUCCCCAAAAAAAUUACUUCCAAAUAUGGCCCUUCGUAGUGUGAUCCUUUGUUCCAAAUUUUACUUUUACUUUUUUUAUGGCUUAGUUAUGACAGUUUAUGUGUUUUCGGUUUUCGUCAUUUUGUGGGCAUGGCAGUGCUCCGAUUUUGCCCAUUUUCGAAAGCAACCCUCUCACGGUCCAAUGUGUUCCAAAUUUCAUUAGGAUAUCUCAAUUUUUACUCAAGUUAUCCGUUGUACGGACGGACGGACAGACAGACAUUCGGAUUUUGACUCGUCUCGUCACCAUGAUCAUUUUGAUAUAUAUGUAUAACCGUAUAUCUAACUGGUUUAGUUUUAUGACUUACAAACAACCGUUAUGUGAACGGUUCUAUAAUACUCUCUUAGUAACUUUUGUUGCGAGAGUAUAAAAACCAUUCCAAAAUGGUUGGUGUGAAAUGCGCGCUCCCUUUGAGGUCACGAAAGUAUUGGGUUCACAUCACCAAUCUUCCCUUAAAAAAGAAUUGGGAAUUACACCAUCCUCCCGUGAUUCACUGUUUACAUAAUCCGUUAAAAUAAAAUUAAUACAGAAAAUAUUAAGAACUACAUUUUAAUUUAUUUAGUUUUAUAAACUUUUCCUACAAUAGGUAUCUAUCAUAUUAUUAAUUAAUCGACUUUCAGCAGCAUUUUUAAAUUUUGCGAAACCAAGUCUAGAUCGCAAUUAUGGUCAACGGUGGUGUAAUCCACUUCUACUGUUGCUUGUUGUUGCAUAGGCUGCUUCUGCGUAGCAUUUCGAUCAAAUUGUUGGACCUUGGGCGAUUAACUGUAACGGAGGAUGAUCGAUCUUCAUCAUCCUGUGGAUCACAGUCCCCUGAAACAAAAUUCGUCACGGUUCUCCUAACGCUCGUUCGGAAAUACAAAAUACUAAAUAUCCGUAGUAUCUGAAGGAGGCACUAUUUCAAAGGCUUAAAAUAUAUGUAGCUAGAAUAUCAAAGCUAUAUAAAUCCGCUGUGAUUAAUACUUUAAGUAGAGCUUCAUGAAUUCUCAUUAGUUCCGAGCAACGAACACAAGUUUGUCGCAGUAGAAGUUAUGGUCUUGUCAGCCAAACAGGUUCAAUAACAAUUUCAUCAUCUGGCUCAAGUGAAAGCAAGAACAAUUUCGUCAAUUAAAUUUCGCCAGCAGCAAAUACUUUAAUGCACCGUUUCUAUUUUAUUAUAUUAUUCGUUGUAAGCAAGACAUAAAGAAAUAUAAUUCUUGCUUUUUAUUUAACUACACUCAGUGCAUUUUCUUUCUUUAAGGGUACUUGCUUGAGUAUAUAUGUUAUACAAACGGACACCAGUUAGUCGCACGCUGCAUACUUUUAGGAUAUCUUUUUUGCUGAGCUGCUGAAGAUCGCCUGAUUUUGAUCGCCUUAGUAUAGUGUCUUGGAGACUUGCAGACUUGCAGACAUCUUUCGGUGAGUUCGUGUAACAGCGGUGAUUAAGUUAUUUCUGAUAAGUUAUAUUAUAUAUCUGAUAUUUCUGAUUAAGUUAUUUCCCAACAAUUCUGAUAGUUGUCGCUAGUCGUACCAAAAUUAAACUCUACAAGUCGCUUAUUCAUCCCCGUCCUGCUUUAUAGUGCAGAAUCUUGGACGAUGUCAACAUCAGAUGAGACGAUACUAGGAGUUUUCGAGAGGAAAAUUUUGCGCAAGAUUUAUGGUCCUCAGAACAUUGGCAACGGCGAAUAUGACAGACGAUGGAUCGAUGAACUGUACGAGUUAUACGACGAAAUUGACAUAGUUCAGCGAAUAAAGAGACAGCGGCUACGCUGGCUAGGUCAUGUUGUUCGAAUGGACAAAAGUGCUCCAGCUCUGAAAGUGUUCGAUGCAGUACCCGCCGGAGGAAGCCGAGGAAGGUGAUGACCACCACUCCGUUGGAGCGACCUAGUUACACUUGGGCUCUCAAAUGGCGCCGAACUGCGAGGGAAGAAGAGGAGUGGCGCGCUAUCAUCCAAUCACAUACGAUGUGCCGUCUUACAGCGAUUUACCAAAACCAUCGACACACUGGUUGACCGACAGAGCGUUAGGAAUCACGGACAAACAGUAUUCUGACCGGUAUAAAUCUUGUUUUAAGGGAAUGUGAUCCAUAGGAUGAUGAAAAUCCAGCGUUCUCCGAUAGAGCUAAUCGCCCAAGGGGAAAAAAUACAAAUGUUAAGGAGAAGCAGCACUAUGUUCAGUUUAGCUAACGUUCAAGCAAAUAGAAGUGUAGUCCUCCGCUGAAAUUUAUUAUUGCGAUUUGAACUUGGUUUCCCAUAAUUUGAAAAUGUUGUUGAAAGAAGAAGAAUUGUAUUAAAUAAGAAGCAAAUUACAAAUAAACCAUUUUUUGAUAGUAUACAUAAAGAUUUAUUUAGACAUAACUGGGAGCCCUUAAACAGCCCAGUCUGGAACGGAUCUUACAGAUACCUGGCGCCAUUCGUAAUAAGAUAGCCUUACUUAUUAUGGUUUCACAAAGCUCAAAGAGAAGACAUACAAAUCGGAUGCCGACAUUACCGACCACCUAACUUCAGUUUUUACAAAUAUAUCUUCAUCAUAGCAAACUACCUUCAGUAGCUCUUAUUAACCUUAUGACAACAGAUCAGCAUGAUUUUGUCUGAUAUUAAAUAUGUUUUUCUUUUAGUCAUCGCUUGUUAUUUUAAUUUGAUUUAAAUUUCUCAAAUUGUAAUUUAAAAGACGAGUCGCUUUUCUUGCGCUGGUCCCAAUUAAACUGCAAAGUGACAAAAAUUGAUUAACUAUUUAAAGUCUUCAAACAGGCGCAUUACAAUUUCGCUGAGUAUUCAUUAUUCAAAUAUUAUUAUUUUACUUUUCUAUUUUUUUAUUAUUAUUUCAUUUCAAAUAUCUUAACAAAAAAAACCUGAUCGAUUUCUUCAUUAAUCGAGUAUUCUGAGCACAACAAAGAUAUUUAAUGAAACAUUUUUUAGAAAUUCAAUUAAUGUCCCUUCAGACGUUCUGCAAGGCAGUCACCUUGGUCCGAUUCUGUUCUCGUUAUUUAUUAAUGAUUAGAUUUUCUAGAAUAAAUUACCAAAAAAAAGUUAUUCGUGGCGAGGUUACCAAUUAAAACUAAAAGUCACACUUUUAUAAACCAUCUUCGAAUGGCUAAUGGAUCAUUAUGAUAAGGUUUUCAAACCACAAAUAUUCCUGUGGUCCGGCACACACAUUAACGCGACAUACAUAUGUUUUCUAUAUAAAGUUCAGUCUAAGGUGUCAUCUUGGCAUAUUUUUGAUAUUUUUACCUUAUGAAUUUUCAUUCAAAUAGUCCAUGUGAGUUUGAUUGCUCCAUGUAAUUUAAUGGUAUUAUAGAAUAUUGAAAUUGAGGUUUUAUGCUAACAUUACAUAUAUAUAUAUAUAUUGACACUAACCUCACUAACCUGCUUCUUCUUAGUAUUUCAAUUAAAUUGUUGGAUCUUGGGCGAUUAUCUCUGUCGAAGGAUGCUUGAUCUUCAUAAUCAUGUGGAUCACAUUCCCUUGAAACAAAAUUCGUCCAGCUCAAAAUGCUGUUGUUCCAACAUAUUUUUGCUAUUUUUUAGCUUACGGUUAAUAUGGUAUAUACCACUUAAGCUGUAUCUUGUUGCUGCAUAACGCUGCUUCUCCGUAGCAUUUCGAUCAAAUUGUUGGACCUUGGACGAUUAUCUCUGUCGAAGGAUGGUCGAUCUUCAUAAUCCUGUGGAUCACAUUCCCCUGAAACAAAAUUCGUCCAGGUCAAAAUGCUGUUGUUCCAACAUAUUUUUGCUAUUUUUUAGCUUAUGGUUAAUAAGGUAUAUACCACUUAAUCUGUAGCUUGUUGCUGCAUAACGUUGCUUCUCCUUAGCAUUUCGAUCAAAUUGUUGGACCUUGGACGAUUAACUGUAACAGAGUAUACUCGGUCUUCAUCAUCUUGAUUAUCACAGUCCCCUGAAAUUUGUCCAGGUCAAAAUGCUGUUGUUCCAACAUAUUUUUGCUAUUUUUUAGCUUAUGGUUAAUAAGGUAUAUACCACUUAAUCUGUAGCUUGUUGCUGCAUAACGUUGCUUCUCCUUAGCAUUUCGAUCAAAUUGUUGGACCUUAGGCGAUUAUCUCUGUCGAAGGAUGGUCGAUCUUCAUAAUCCUGUGGAUCACAUUCCCCUGAAACAAAAUUCGUCCAGGUCAAAAUGCUGUUGUUCGCCUCUCCCAAAGCUCCGUCGGUCAACCUGUGUGCUGGUUGGUUCGGCAAAGCGCUGGGAGACAUCAAAAUACCUCUUUUUCAUCUUUAGUCCAAAUAAUGAUCCAUCAAUUAUUUGUGGAUUAUUCAGAGGUUCAACGCAACUUUCCACAGAAGUUGGACUUCUAGCGCUACACAUAUGCUGCCGCUCCACGGUGUAGGAUGACUGUUCAUAAUGGCAAAGCAAAAGUUGUUCUUCACUGCUGCUACUGGAAAACGACGAAAGUUGUCCCCACUCCUUAGUUUUUUCGAUUUCGCAAUCAUCAUAAAAUGUCCAAUGUCCAUUUUUUUCAUAGCAGUAACUGCUGCUAGUGAAGCUUUGUAAAGAAUUUAAAAAGUCAAAUAAAUUCUCCUUAGCAUCUAUCACUGUUUGCAUAAUAUGUUGGAUAUAUGGCUUUUCCAAAUUCCGUGGCGUUAAGUCAAGAUCGCAAUUAAUAUGGUCUACGGUUAAUAUGGUAUAACCCACUUCUGCUGUAGCUUGUUGCUGCAUAACGCUGCUUCUCCUUGGCAUUUCGAUCAAAUUGUUGGAUCUUAGGCGAUUAUCUCUGUCGAAGGAUGCUCGAUCUUCAUAAUCCUGUGGAUCACAUUCCCCUGAAACAAAAUUCGUCCAGGUCAAAAUGCUGUUGUUCCAACAUAUUUUUGCCAUUUUUUAGCUUAUGGUUAAUAAGGUAUAUACCACUUAAGCUGUAGCUUGUUGCUGCAUAACGUUGCUUCUCCUUAGCAUUUCGAUCAAAUUGUUGGACCUUGGACGAUUAACUGUAACAGAGUAUGCUCGGUCUUCAUCAUCUUGAUUAUCACAGUCCCCUGAAAUUUGUCCAGGUCAAAAUGCUGUUGUUCGCCUCUCCUAAAGCUCUGUCGGUCAACCAGUGUGCCGGUGGUUUCGGUAAAGCGCUGGGAGACAUCAAAAUACCUCUUUUUCGUCUUCAGUCCAAAUAAUGAUCCAUCAUUUAUUUGUGGAUUAUCCUGAGGUUCAACGCAACUUUCCACAGACGUUGGACUUCUAGCGCUACACAGAUGCUGCCGCUCCACGGUGUAGGAUGACUGUUCAUAAUGGCAAAGCAAAAGUUGUUCUUCACUGCUGCUACUGGAAAACGACGAAAGUUGUCUCCACUCCUGAGUUUUUACGAUUUCGCAAUCAUCAUAAAAUGUCCAAUGUCCAUUUUUUUCAUUGCAGUAACCGCUGCUAGUGAAGCUUAACUCAAAAGAGUAACAUCGGCGAUGUGGAAAAACUGGUAUCCUUUGUUGCGGCCCAAAGAAGUAACUACCAGUGCUACUAGAAGCUAGCGAUGACGAGCUUAAUGGUGGUGACGAUCAUCUAAGGAACCUUAAUUGUCUGAAAUGGUAAGUAGUCACAAUUAAAUUGAUUGAUGUUGUCCGUCUUUAGUCAACAUCUACUGCAAUUCGUAGUAGCUUUCUGAAUUGUGUGAUUUUGCUAUUUCGAAUUCACUUAAAUUCAAUGAACUUAAUGAAAACAUUAUAUAUCAAUUUUUAUGCGAAUUCCUCAAAAGUAGGCUAAUUGUUUCCGUUUUUUUUUUCAAAUAUAUUCGAUGUGAGUAGUUGCGCCCCUCACUUGGAUUACUAAGACGCAAGGAGGGUCGCAAACACUAACACCGUUCAUCGAUAUUAGUCUUCUGUUAAACACAUCCCAAAUUCUAUCAAUGCGGACUCGAGUUUCAGAAUCCUUCUACGGAUCCGCUUAUCAUAUUUCAUAUUAUUAAUCGACAGUCGCAGAUUGAACUUUCAGCAGCUUUUUCAAAUUCUGUGACAUUAAGUCCAGAUCGCAAUUGGUCUACGGUUAAUAUGGUAUAUACCACUUCUGCUGUAACUUGUUGCUGCAUAACGCUGCUUCUCCGUAGCAUUUCGAUCAAAUUGUUGGACCUUGGACGAUUAACUGUAACAGAGGAUACUCGGUCUUCAUCAUCUUGAUUAUCACAGUCCCCUGAAAUUUCAAUUUCCAGGUCAAAAUGCUGUUGUUCGAAAUGAAUAUAACUCUCACGAUCCUGCACCAGAUUGGGAUGUAUACUUUGCUGUAGUAGAGCUGGGAAGAUCACGUCCGCAUUGAAUUUCCUAAAAAUUCCCAUCGGUUUCCAGUCAGUGCGGUUAUGGGUUGUGGGUACAUAAAAUCAUCUCAAAAAUUUGACCUUUUUAGACCCAUUUGGGAUCAAGAUGGUCAUAGUGGUAUGGUAGGUUUAGUGAGCAACUGCUGUGGUAAGAAUCGAUGACGAACUGGAUUAAAGCAGUUACCCUACUUUCCACUGACCACUAAUAGGGCACUGUGUUGGUCCGUGUGUAGUUCAGUCCCCUCCUUGUCCUUUACUUGCACAGGGACCAGGUCCUGUUCCCAGAAUACCUUGCUGUUGUCGGCCUUGAACCGACAUCGCCUUUGAUCCUCAUCAUAUAUGCAGAGGACUGAGCUCUUCCACCCCUCGAAUUUAAGAGGAGCCUCCGUUAGCCAGGUGAUGGUCUCUUCAUUACUGCAGUCUCGAUCUGAAGUAGACACCCUUUCGCUACUUCCUUAUUUUGGUGGGCGGUGAGUACAUCCGGUCCCACACUUCGGCAGUAUAGUUAAGCGGCAGUAAAGCUAAGUGUAUGCUUUUAAGAGUAUCCUCAUACCUGUCGGCUAUCAUCUAAUCGAGUCGGAUUUUGGGUCUAAAAUUUUCCGCCCUACUAUUGAGUCAGGAUUGGCCUCCGCCGUUCGGAGUAUAGCAGCACCUACGGAAUCUUCUGGCUGAUGCUCCUCUUCGCAGCUCUAUCAGCUCUCUGCCUGUUCCCGUGCCAAUUCGGGUCAGAGGGACGUCUCUCCCGUGACGUGCGUCGAUCCCUGCCAAUAGGAAGCUUUUUGGCAUCUUCAGUUGACUUUCCAUGUUCGAGGUGUGUGAAGUACCACUUAAGGUGGCGCACACAUACCAACCCUUCCUGGGUCGCAGGGCCACCUGGGCAGGUACAUUUAAUUAAUUUUAAAUUUAUAAAUUUAUUUGAUAUUUUAUAUUUGCAAAAAUAGAUGACGCCAUGUUACUGUAUAGAAACCGCCUAAAUAUAUACAAAUUUGUUUGGGAACGUUUUAUAAUUGGAUGUCGCUACUGUCGGUGUAUCAAAUGUUCAAUCCAAUUAUAUAUUAAUUCCAGUUUGUCCCAACAGAUGGUGCUGAGGACAAAUGCAUUUUACAUAUGUACAUAUAUGUUCAUUAAAUAUUUUGUUGAAAUGUUAGGACAAUGACCCGACAACGCCGGACGGGUAUAUACAUACAUACAUAUAUCAAGAAACAGCUGACAUUGCUACAAGAAGCUAGCGAUGAUAAAUCACUUGUUCAAGUAGAGUUAGUUGUAGUAGUAGUUGCAAUUAUCUUGAUUCCAUCUUGUGCCAUCGUCUUCAUUUGAUCAUCUACUCCAAUGCUUAGUAAGGCUUCCAUGGAUAGAGAAAAAUCUUCUUCAAUAAACCCGCUAAAAUAAAGCUCAGAUAUAUCUAACUAUUCGACUUUUCAAAAAUCUCAAUCAACGAACACAAAUAUGCGAACUGAAGGCAGAAUACCGCCAUUUCAUCCGGACGAGUAAAUAAUCUCAUCUUCGCCGAUUUGUAGCUCGAAUGAUAACGAAAGCGAAUUUGUUUACCCCCGCCAACAAAAUCAUUUCCAACAACAACAACAUUUUGAGGCAUAUCAUAGAAGAAACUUCUUGCACAAUAUCAGAUUUAACAACGACACGUGGACACAUAACACACCUCAGCCUGGUAACGGCAGCACCUGUAAUGCACCGGCGACUUCAACUUUGCCGCAACCACCACAACAUUUGCUAUUUUGUAUCGCGGAAGCGGUUUUUGAAGAAGAUGGAAAUGAAGAGAAACAAGAGAUGGUAAAAAAGAAAAAUAUUUUCGGUUAUUAUAAUUUGAAGAGAAAAUUAGGUAGAUUCAAAAAAAAAGUUUUAAUUAAAAAAAAAAAAUUAUAAAACUAAUAUUUAAUCUUAUUUUCUACAGUCGGGAAAUAUGUUUUAUACAUUUGAAAUAGAUUUCCAAUGAUUCUGAAAUAUUGUAGUAUUUAAUGAAGUUGGUCAAAUUUUCUAUAAGAUGGCAACUUCGGUUAGAAUAAUAUUUUGUAUUUUAUAUAUUACAAAUACAAAUAAACUUUAUUAAUUAGACAAUUGGCAAUGCUUUCAAAGAUAUUUCCUCGAACUAUCACCAACUACAUCUGAUAGUUCGAUACAAGACCAAUUCUGACCAUAUUCUACAAAGAAGCUGAUGCAUGCACCUUAUCAGUUCUUCGCCGCCGUAUUUGAAUAGCUCGGCCGGCAAUCCAUCGGCCCGCCGCUUUGUUGUUCUUCAAGCGGGCAAUUGCUAUUCAAAUUUCGGGUAAUCUAUUCCAUCAUCAUCGAUUGGGGAAUCGGGUUCGCCUUCUCUUGGUGUUGUACUUUCACUGCCAUUCAGCAGGUCGGAUGUUCCCUCCAUAACCCCAGUAUGCUCUGGACAUCCGUUACCAGAUUACCUCAUCGGUCCCUACAUGAUAAUGCUCCGGUAUGGAAACCGCCUCAUCUUUUCAUAAAAUUUUCGAGCAUUACCCAUGUCAGCCAGCUUUUCAAGCUUUUCAUACUCACGCAUUUCGGCCUCUUUCUUUUUACGUCUGCAGUUACGUCUCGCUUCUCUCUUCAGCUCUCGGUAUCAAUCCCACCCGUGUCCUUUACCUGCACAGCUACCAGGUCCUGUUUUAAAAACUUUUAAAUACAAAAUAAAUGUAUCGCUAGAGAAGUCCCAGAUUACCUUUUUGUUGACCUGAUCAUAUAUUCCGUUGUUGAGCCUUAUACAUACCGGAGUCUUCAAUGUAGCUGCUUAGAGUUCGCCAGGAUGAGGUCUCUUCUCCUCUUGGUGGACUGAGCCCUUCCACCCCUCGAAUGUGAACUGUUAGGAAGACAUAUUGCCCGAGCACAAAUACGAGUCGCGGCAACAAAUGUCUUCGCAUAUGAACCUGCAUUUUAUAAAAUAAUGACGACCAAAGCACUCAAAAGUGACUAGAGCUUUCAUAUUAAAAAUGUGCUCUUAAUAAAUUCGAUUUAUUUUCCUGCAAUUGCAUAGGAAUUUUAAUUCGGUGGGAGAUUUUCUAAAAUUCUCGGCUGGCUUAAAUUUUAUUUAAUUCAAGACUUUUAUUAUUAACAAUUUCAUGUUUUCCUCCUCACACAGUGUUUUAAGUGACUGCCAAAACAUAUUUUCGUGCAAUUGAAAAAUGUUUAUUAUCAUUAUUGACCCCCUUUUUAAUAGAUAAUAGAUAUGGUAGUGUCCACAGCAAAUUUGCUUUUUAACUAAAUUAAUAAAAUAUGCGAAAUUAUUUUAGUGAAAUAUGUGCAUUAUUAUUAUAAUUUAAAGUGAUUUGCAAAUAGUUUGUGUUUGGUAUUAGUGCAACAAUCAUAACUUAAUUAGUAGUGAAAAUAAAUGCAGCAAAUUGAUAAUAAAGCCAAAUGACAACACAUCAUGCGCCAUCCACUUUCUGUUUUUAUCGACUCUCAAAAAUUUUGGCAGCCAAAAUUGUUUCCAUAACAGAAAUAAUUUAUGGAGAUUGCUACAAUUUAACAGUAAUUAAAAUUGACAUUAUUCUCGUGAUAGUGAUUUUUAGAUAUAUAAAGCGUUUAAUUAUACACUAAUAAUGAUAAAUAUUUGUUAAUUGAAUUAAAUGCGAGCAAAAAGAUUUUAUUUUGUAUAUUAACCAUGAUGUUAUUAUUCAGAUUAGGAAUAUUAUAGCAAUUUUUUGGGUGUUCUGGAUUCUUCGAACAUUUUUUAAAAUCUCAAUUUUAAUAAUUUUGCGCUGAUUAAUUACUUUAACGUCGACUCUCCUUUCCUUGCAAGGUACUAGCGGGUGAUCCAAGUAGAGGUACUUUUUAUACUCUCGCAACAAAAGUUGCUAAGAGAGUAUUAUAGUUUUGUUCAUAUAACGGUUGUUUGUAAGUCAUAAAACUAAACAAAUUAGAUAUAGGGUUAUAUAUAUCAAAAUGAUCAGGAUGACGAGACGUGUUGAAAUCUGUCCGUCCGUCCGUCUGUCCGUGCAACGGAUAACUUGAGUAAAAAUUGAGAUAUCUUAACGAAACUUAACUUAACUUGGAACACGUAUUCCUUGGCACCCUGAGGAGGUUGCUUUCGAAGAUGGGCAAAAUUGGACCAUUGCCACGCCCACAAAAUUGCGAAAACCGAAAACACAUAAAGUUUCAUAACUAAGCCAUAAAUAAAGUUAUAAAAGUAAAAUUUGGAACAAAAGAUUUCGCACCAGGAAGGGGCAUAUUUGUGUGUAAUUUUUUUGGGGAAGUGGGCGUAGCCCCGCUCCCAAAUCGGUUAUUUGUAUAUAUCUCGCAAACCAAUGAAGCUAUAUAAACCAAACGUUCAGCGGUCGGUUCUCUUACGUACCUCACCACACACCAUGAAAAUAGUUAAAAUCGGAUAAUAACCACGCCCACCUCCCAUAUAAAGGAUAGGUUGGAAAUUACUAAAACUGCGUUAACUCACUAACUCAGAAACACUAAAUUUUACAGAAGAAAUAGCACAAUGAAGCUGCACUCAGAUUUUUUUACAAAAUGAAAAAUAGGCGUGGCAUCGCACACUUAUGGGUCAAAAACCAUAUCUCAGGAACUACUCGACAGAUUUCAAUGAAAUUCGGUAUACAAUAUUUUCUUGACACCCUCAUGGGCGAAAUCGGUUCACAACCACGACUACUUUCCUUAUAACUCAAUUUUGAAUUCCAUCUGAUUACUUCACUUUAUAAUGUAUACAUAAGGAAGCAACGAAGAUAGCGGAAUAAAAGCUUACACAAAUAGUGCAUAUCAUCUCUGGCUUCACUUGUGAAAAAAUUGUCGAAAACGGACUAUAACUCUACAAGGCCCCAGAUAUCAAACAUGAUGAACUCUGCACCUAAGGGUAAAUUUUAACCGAACAUAUGGGUUAAUCUCUGAGAUUAUUGAAUGUAAUUUAAAUAUAAAAAUUAUUAAAAUCGGGUAAUAGCAUAUCCUAGCUCCCAUAUACCUAAUUAUAGGGUUUUCAAAAAUACGGUGGGCUUUAUUCCGCAUAUAUGUACGAGGGCUGCUAUGUAUAUUUCUGGCCUAAUAAUGAAAAUAGGAAUAUUUAUCAACGAAAAUGGUUUUAUUUUUUUCAAAAUAU